UACGUAGGGGGCUAGCGUUGUCCGGAAUCAUUGGGCGUAAAGAGCGCGUAGGCGGCCAGAUAAGUCCGGUGUGAAAGUCAAAGGCUCGACCUUUGAAUGCCGCUGGAAACUGUCUGGCUAGAGUCCGGGAGGGGCGAGUGGAAUUGCAGGUGUAGCGGUGAAAUGCGUAGAUAUCGAGAGGAACACCUGCGGCGAAGGCGGGUUGCUGGGCUGAUACUGACGCUGAGGCGCGAAAGCCAGGGGAGCGAACGGG
rnacentral:rRNA from 1 species